GCUGGAAUGGCCGAGUCGUUAAGGCGAGUGAUUUGAAUGACCUUGUGUCUCAAACAUCACUUGGGCAUUGCCCGCGUAGGUUCAAAUCCUGCUUCCAGCG